rnacentral:ribozyme from 14 species
UUCUGAUAUUGGUAAGUUUUUUUUUUGCUUUUUGUUUUUUUUGUCUUUUUUGACGCGUCUUUCUCUUGAUGGCGGCAUAGAAUCGUCAACGAAAGAAUGAAUUGUAGG